GAUGAACGCUGGCGGCGUGCCUAAUACAUGCAAGUCGAGCGAACGGACGAGAAGCUUGCUUCUCUGAUGUUAGCGGCGGACGGGUGAGUAACACGUGGAUAACCUACCUAUAAGACUGGGAUAACUUCGGGAAACCGUAGCUAAUACCGGAUAAUAUUUUGAACCGCAUGGUUCAAAAGUGAAAGACGGUCUUGCUGUCACUUAUGGAUGGAUCCGCGCUGCAUUAGCUAGUUGGUAAGGUAACGGCUUACCAAGGCAACGAUGCAUAGCCGACCUGAGAGGGUGAUCGGCCACACUGGAACUGAGACACGGUCCAGACUCCUACGGGAGGCAGCAGUAGGGAAUCUUCCGCAAUGGGCGAAAGCCUGACGGAGCAACGCCGCGCGAGUGAUGAAGGUCUUCGGAUCGUAAAACUCUGUUAUUAGGGAAGAACAUAUGUGUAAGUAACUGUGCACAUCUUGACGGUAGCUAAUCAGAAAGCCACGGCUAACUACGUG
rnacentral:rRNA from 1 species